CACUCCUGUGAUCUAGUGGUUAGAGCAUCCACUUCGGAUGCGGGAGGUCAUGGGUUCAAUCCCCAGCUGAGUCA